AGAGUUUGAUCCUGGCUCAGGACGAACGUUGGCGGCGUGCUUAACACAUGCAAGUCGAGCGGUUGAGAGGUGGGAGGUGAGAGGUUAGACGUGGGAGAAAGAAAGAAUUCUAAUCUAAAGUUCUCACAUCCAACAUCUCACAUCUCACUUCUCAAUAGCGGCGGACGGGUGAGUAACGCGUGGAUAAUCUGCCUGUAAGACAGGGAUAACGCCGGGAAACCGGUGCUAAUACCCGAUAACCUCUUUGGAUCGCAUGGUUUGAAGAGAAAAGGUGGCCUCUUUACAAUGCUACCACUUACAGAUGAAUCCGCGUCCCAUUAGCCAGUUGGUGGGGUAAAGGCCUACCAAAGCGACGAUGGGUAGCCGGCCUGAGAGGGUGACCGGCCACACUGGAACUGAGAUACGGUCCAGACUCCUACGGGAGGCAGCAGUGGGGAAUCUUCCGCAAUGGGCGAAAGCCUGACGGAGCAACGCCGCGUGAGCGAAGAAGGUCUUCGGAUUGUAAAGCUCUGUGAUAUUGGACGAACAAUUUCCCGUACAAUAAGAGGAAGCCCCGGCUAACUACGUGCCAGCAGCCGCGGUAAUACGUAGGGGGCAAGCGUUGUCCGGAAUUAUUGGGCGUAAAGGGCGCGUAGGCGGAUAAUUAAGUCCGGUGUGAAAGAUCAGGGCUCAACCCUGAGAGUGCAUCGGAAACUGGUUAUCUUGAGGACAGGAGAGGAAAGUGGAAUUCCUAGUGUAGCGGUGAAAUGCGUAGAUAUUAGGAGGAACACCAGUGGCGAAGGCGACUUUCUGGACUGUAACUGACGCUGAGGCGCGAAAGCGUGGGGAGCAAACAGGAUUAGAUACCCUGGUAGUCCACGCCGUAAACGAUGAGUGCUAGGUGUAGAGGGUAUCGACCCCUUCUGUGCCGCAGUUAACACAAUAAGCACUCCGCCUGGGGAGUACGGCCGCAAGGUUGAAACUCAAAGGAAUUGACGGGGGCCCGCACAAGCGGUGGAGCAUGUGGUUUAAUUCGACGCAACGCGAAGAACCUUACCAGGGCUUGACAUCCUGUGACAGCUAUAGAAAUAUUAGGGAGUGCCCUUCGGGGAGCGUAGAGACAGGUGGUGCAUGGUUGUCGUCAGCUCGUGUCGUGAGAUGUUGGGUUAAGUCCCGCAACGAGCGCAACCCUUGUUGUUAGUUGCCAUCAUUAAGUUGGGCACUCUAGUGAGACUGCCGGAGACAAUUCGGAGGAAGGUGGGGAUGACGUCAAAUCAUCAUGCCCCUUAUGUUCUGGGCUACACACGUGCUACAAUGGGUGUAACAACGGGAAGCAAGCUGGCAACAGCAAGCCAAUCCCUGAAAAGCACCCUCAGUUCGGAUUGUAGGCUGAAACCCGCCUACAUGAAGUUGGAGUUGCUAGUAAUCGCGAAUCAGCAUGUCGCGGUGAAUACGUUCCCGGGCCUUGUACACACCGCCCGUCACACCAUGGGAGUUAGAGGCACCCGAAGCCGGUGACUUAACCGUAAGGAGAGAGCCGUCGAAGGUGAAGCUAGCGACUGGGGUGAAGUCGUAACAAGGUAACC
rnacentral:rRNA from 1 species